rnacentral:lncRNA from 1 species
AUCUUGAAUCUAAGAUCUAUAUGAAUUUUAAUUCUAAAAUUAUUUGAAUAUCUAAAGAUCUAAGAAUCUCUAAAAACUUAUAAAACUUAUUAAUAAUCUAAGAUCUAUAUGAAUCUUGUUUCUAAGAACUAUUUGAAUCAUAAAAAAAUAUUAGAGAAAAUCAUAAAAUCAUAAGCCUUUAAAUCGGCUCUCCCUUUUUCCCCUAUUUGAUCCGACCUUAAAUCCGGAUUGUCUAAAGGAUCAAAACCCAUAAUCAAACCCUUUGAUCAUCCGCAUGAUCACCAGCUAUUCUAGCAGGAUGAAUAAACCGGCCAUCAAAAACCUCACCAUCAAAAUCCUUAAAUCUAGAUAUGUAUCUUGAUGGCCAUUAUACAUAUCAAUCCCCUAAAUCCUUCUUGUUUGGUU